GUCCAGACUCCUACGGGAGGCAGCAGUGGGGAAUAUUGCGCAAUGGGGGAAACCCUGAUGCAGCAACGCCGCGUGAGUGAGGAAGUAUUUCGGUAUGUAAAGCUCUCUCAGCAGGGAAUAGAAAAGAAGGUACCUGAAAAAGAAGCCCCGGCUAACUACGUGCCAGCAGCCGCGGUAAUACGUAGGGGGCAAGCGUUAUCCGGAUUUACUGGGUGUAAAGGGAGCGUAGACGGCGAUGCAAGCCAGAUGUGAAAGCCCGGGGCUCAACCCCGGGACUGCAUUUGGAACUGUAUAGCUAGAGUGUCGGAGAGGCAGGCGGAAUUCCUAGUGUAGCGGUGAAAUGCGUAGAUAUUAGGAGGAACACCAGUGGCGAAGGCGGCUUACUGGACUGUAACUGACGUUGAGGCUCGAAAGCGUGGGGAGCAAACAGGAUUAGAUACCCGCGUAA
rnacentral:rRNA from 1 species